GGGCCCGCACAAGCGGUGGAGCAUGUGGUUUAAUUCGAUGCAACGCGAAGAACCUUACCAGGGCUUGACAUACUACAGAUUCUUUAGAGAUAGAGAAGUGCCUUCGGGAAUGUAGAUACAGGUGGUGCAUGGCUGUCGUCAGCUCGUGUCGUGAGAUGUUGGGUUAAGUCCCGCAACGAGCGCAACCCUUAUUUUUAGUUACCAAUUCGUUGGGUUCUCUAGAAAGCUGCCGGUGACAAACCGGAGGAAGGUGAGGAUGACGUCAAGUCAGCAUGCCCCUUAUGUCCUGGGCUACACACGUGCUACAAUGGUUAAGACAAAGAGUCGCGAGCUCGCAAGGGUCAGCUAAUCUCAUAAACUUAGCCUAAGUUCAGAUUGUAGGCUGCAACUCGCCUACAUGAAGUUGGAAUCGCUAGUAAUCG
rnacentral:rRNA from 1 species